rnacentral:rRNA from 1 species
UACGUAGGUGGCGAGCGUUGUCCGGAUUUACUGGGCGUAAAGGGAGCGUAGGCGGACUUUUAAGUGAGAUGUGAAAUACUCGGGCUCAACUUGAGUGCUGCAUUUCAAACUGGAAGUCUAGAGUGCAGGAGAGGAGAAUGGAAUUCCUAGUGUAGCGGUGAAAUGCGUAGAGAUUAGGAAGAACACCAGUGUCGAAGGCGGUUCUCUGGACUGCAACUGACGCUGAGGCUCGAAAGCGUGGGGAGCAAACAGG